UACGUAGGGUGCAAGCGUUGUCCGGAAUUAUUGGGCGUAAAGAGCUCGUAGGCGGUUUGUCGCGUCGAAUGUGAAAACCCGGGGCUCAACCCCGGGCCUGCAUUCGAUACGGGCAGACUAGAGUUCGGUAGGGGAGUCUGGAAUUCCUGGUGUAGCGGUGAAAUGCGCAGAUAUCAGGAAGAACACCAGCGGCGAAGGCGGCACUCUGGGCUGGAAUUGACGCUGAGGAGCGAAAGUGUGGGUAGCAAACAGG
rnacentral:rRNA from 1 species